UCCUUGGUCUUGGAGCCCUCGGUGACUUGAACACACUCGUCCAGCAGCAGCUCUCCGUUCUCACUGGUGAGGCCGAGGACGAAUGGACUCUGCUCCACAGAGACCCAGCAGGAAGCUUCCUCCCUGAGGAUAAGGACAUAAAAAGGAUGACAAGUCUGUCUAAUUUUGCAUGUUGUACUGGAAUGGGAUCAACUCGAGAGUGAUGUCAUUCAAAGCCCACACUUCCGAGAUGCAAUACUGGAAACCACCAAACAGCCCAAAAGGCAGAAGUUGCUGCUGUUGUUAUUCAAUGGCUGAAGAUUAACUCAAAAAGACACAACACUUGUUUUGUAAAAUGAAUAUAUCACUGACUCUAAUCAAUAGCCUCCAACACUGUGAUCUUUCCCUAAAUACCACAGAGAGCACAGCAUGGUGUUUUAAUAUAGAGAAAAAUGUCAGAUCUGUGU